CGAGCCUCCUCCACCGUGCGGCCCGCGGAGGGCAGGGAGCGGCCGGGCGAGGCAUGGCGGGCCGCCGGGCGCCGGGGGAGAAGCGCUGGCAGCUGGUGCGCUGGUACGUGCAGGAAGGGCGGUUCCGAAUCGAGGAGAGGACGCUGACAGCCUUCCAGUGGCUCUACAGCCCGCAGCAGCAUCGCAUCCUCAGCCGGGCUGACCUCGAGUCUCCCUCCAGAGAUGGGGUCUCCCUAUUGUGCCCAGGCUGGUCAACUCCUAGGUUCAAGCCAUUCUCCUGCCUCUGCCUCCCAAGGUGCUGAGAUGACAGACGUGAGCCACUGUGCCCAGCCAAUAGUUAUUUUUUUAGUUCCCGUUAUGUGUCAUGCAAAUGCUUUGCAGGA
rnacentral:lncRNA from 1 species